UACGUAGGAGGCGAGCGUUGUCCGGAUUCACUGGGCGUAAAGGGCGCGUAGGCGGCGGCUUGAGUCCCUGCGUGAAAUCUCCCGGCUCAACCGGGAGGGUGCGCGGGAUACGUGGGCGGCUUGAGGACAUCAGGAGGAGAGCGGAAUCCCCGGUGUAGUGGUGAAAUGCGUAGAUAUCGUAAGGAAGACCAGUGGCGAAGGCGGGUCUCUGGACAGUUCCUGACGCUGAGGCACGAAGGUCAGGGGAGGCAAACGGG
rnacentral:rRNA from 1 species